rnacentral:rRNA from 1 species
CGGUAGAGUAGCAAUACUCGAGAGUGGCGAACGGGUGAGUAAUAUAUCGGAACGUGCCCAGUCGUGGGGGAUAACGUAGAGAAAUUUACGCUAAUACCGCAUACGAUCUAAGGAUGAAAGCGGGGGAUUCGCAAGAACCUCGCGCGAUUGGAGCGGCUGAUAUCAGAUUAGGUUGUUGGUGAGGUAAAAGCUCACCAAGCCGACGAUCUGUAGCUGGUUUGAGAGAACGACCAGCCACACUGGGACUGAGACACGGCCCAGACUCCUACGGGAGGCAGCAGUGGGGAAUUUUGGACAAUGGGCGAAAGCCUGAUCCAGCAAUGCCGCGUGCAGGAAGAAGGCCUUCGGGUUGUAAACUGCUUUUGUACGGAACGAAAAGGCUCUUUCUAAUAAAGGGGGCCCAUGACGGUACCGUAAGAAUAAGCACCGGCUAACUACGUGCC